AUUGAACGCUGGCGGCAUGCUUUACACGUGCAAGUCGAACGGUAACAGGGUGCUUGCACCGCUGACGAGUGGCGAACGGGUGAGUAAUGCGUCGGAACGUGCCGAGUAGUGGGGGAUAACGCAGCGAAAGUUGUGCUAAUACCGCAUACGUACUGAGGUAGAAAGUGGGGGACCUUCGGGCCUCACGCUAUUCGAGCGGCCGACGUCUGAUUAGCUAGUAGGUGAGGUAAAGGCGCACCUAGGCGACGAUCAGUAGCGGGUCUGAGAGGAUGAUCCGCCACACUGGGACUGAGACACGGCCCAGACUCCUACGGGAGGCAGCAGUGGGGAAUUUUGGACAAUGGGCGAAAGCCUGAUCCAGCCAUGCCGCGUGUCUGAAGGAGGCCUUCGGGUUGUAAAGGACUUUUGUCAGGGAGGAAAUCCCUAGUGCUAAUAACACUGGGGGAUGACAGUACCUGAAGAAUAAGCACCGGCUAACUACGUGCCAGCAGCCGCCGUAA
rnacentral:rRNA from 1 species